rnacentral:lncRNA from 1 species
GACAGAAACGGCAGCCAAUCACGCGUUCCUUUUUCUAAUUUUUCUUUAGGCCGACAAUAGAUAAUAAAAUAAGUUUCAAAAAGGGAAAAAAUACUCAAAUAUCUCCUGAGAAAGGAAACUCCAUCCACUCAUCCUUGACUCAUUCUCCACCCACAUCAUUCCCGUCUGUUUCACAACUCCACUCGUCCCCAUCACCAACUUACGCUCUAAACACUUCGUCCCCUCCGUUUCCCAUCCUCCACUCGUUCUCCACCCACAUCAUCUCUCUGUUUCACAACUCCACUCGUCCCCUCACCAACCAUUGCUCUAAACACUUCGUCCCCUCCGUUUCCUUUCUCCACUUGUCCCCGUCCAUUACUUUCUAUCAAUUCAAAGUAAAAAAAAAAAAAAAAAAUCAUAACAAUUUAGAUAUAUAAAACGCACGCAUCCAGAGAUUUUUACAAAUUUAAACCAUCACUUUCUAACAAUUUAUAUUGAAAAAAAAUUCUAAUAAUUUAAAUAUAUAGAACACAAGUAAAAACGAAUUUUAUUUAAAUGUAGUGGGAAACUGAAAGUUACCGAUUAUCUGGCUACAAUUUCAUCAACGUGGUUGGCGUGGUCUUUGGCACCAAAUUCAGAUCUUUGAAUGUUGGUUUUAUUUCAUUUUUCUUUUGUUAAUGCAAAUGCAAAUCUGAGUUUAUCGGGUUUGGC